UGGGGAAUAUUGCACAAUGGGCGAAAGCCUGAUGCAGCGACGCCGCGUGAGGGAUGACGGCCUUCGGGUUGUAAACCUCUUUCAGUAGGGACGAAGCGCAAGUGACGGUACCUGCAGAAGAAGCACCGGCUAACUACGUGCCAGCAGCCGCGGUAAUACGUAGGGUGCGAGCGUUGUCCGGAAUUACUGGGCGUAAAGAGCUCGUAGGCGGUUUGUCACGUCGUCUGUGAAAUCCUAGGGCUUAACCCUGGACGUGCAGGCGAUACGGGCUGACUUGAGUACUACAGGGGAGACUGGAAUUUCUGGUGUAGCGGUGGAAUGCACAGAUAUCAGGAAGAACACCGAUGGCGAAGGCAGGUCUCUGGGUAGUAACUGACGCUGAGGAGCGAAAGCAUGGGUAGCGAGCAGG
rnacentral:rRNA from 1 species